CAAGAACGAAAGUUAGAGGUUCGAAGGCGAUCAGAUACCGCCCUAGUUCUAACCAUAAACGAUGCCAGCUAGCGAUCCGCCGAAGUUCCUCCGAUGACUCGGCGGGCAGCUUCCGGGAAACCAAAGCUUUUGGGUUCCGGGGGAAGUAUGGUUGCAAAGCUGAAACUUAAAGGAAUUGACGGAAGGGCACCACCAGGAGUGGAGCCUGCGGCUUAAUUUGACUCAACACGGGAAACCU
rnacentral:ncRNA from 1 species